AACGAACGCUGGCGGCAGGCCUAACACAUGCAAGUCGAACGCCCUAGCAAUAGGGAGUGGCGCACGGGUGCGUAACACGUGGGAAUGUACCCCAGGGUAAGGAAUACUGUCUGGAAACGGACACUAAUACCUUAUAAUGACCUUGGUCCAAAGAUUUAUCGCCCUGGGAUCAGCCCGCGUCUGAUUAGCUAGGUGGUGAGGUAAUGGCUCACCAAGGCAACGAUCAGUAGCUGGUCUGAGAGGAUGAUCAGCCACACUGGAACUGAGACACGGUCCAGACUCCUACGGGAGGCAGCAGUGAGGAAUAUUGCACAAUGGAGGAAACUCUGAUGCAGCCAUGCCGCGUGAGUGAAGAAGGCCUUCGGGUUGUAAAGCUCUUUUAGUCGUGAAGAUAAUGACGGUAGCGACAGAAAAAGCCCCGGCUAAAUUCGUGCCAGCCGCCGCCGUAA
rnacentral:rRNA from 1 species